rnacentral:misc_RNA from 1 species
AUGGCGGCGUCAUCGAUGUCAUCGUUGACGUCCUCAUAUCACACGACGGCAAUGCCGUCCUCGAACUCUGUGGUCCCGCCGUUUGAUGCUCGAAAUUUGGAAAUUAAGACAAAAUCCAUAGAGCAGACACUUAUCCCGCUAGUUACUCAGAUCACCACACUCGUCAACUAUAAAGAAAGUUACAUGGCAAGUGGGAAGCCGAAAUCUGAACGAGCAAUGAGAGCAGCGUUGAAGAUCGGAAGCGCCGUUGAGGCAGCAAUCGAACGGUUUGUGUGUGUUGGAGAGACGAUAGCCGACGAGAACGCGGAUAUUCAGCCGGAAAUGUAUGAUGCGUGUACUGAAGCUCGGCUAGCUGGUGCUUCAAUGGCCAACCUAUCAUGUGCAUGUAACGAUGAUCCCAACUCGGUGGUGGAUAAAGCUGUGCUCGUCCGAGCCAGCAGGCAGCUCUUGAGCAGUGUCACCAGAGUCCUGCUACUCGCGGAUCGGGUGCUUGUCAAGCAGGUUUUGAGGGCCGAGGAUAAGAUAGCCUUCUCCCUAUCCCGACUAGAAUCCACUCGAUCCUUCAACGAUUUCGUCAAGGUUUUUGCAGUUUUCGGCGGGGAAAUGGUCGAGUUAGCCCAUCGAAGUGGAGAUCGACAGCAUGAUUUAAAAAGUGAAAAACGAAAAGCCCAGAUGUCAAUUGCAAGAACUUCUCUGGAAAGGUUAACGAUGCUUCUACUAACCGCAUCGAAGACCUAUCUGCGGCAUCCCGAUUGUGAUUCUGCACUUCAGUGUCGAGAUGGAGUGUUUUAUCAGAUGAAGCUAUCACUUGAACUCAUUGCAAUUUGUGUUUGUGAUGGGAUUUUGACAACUGAAAAGAGCAGAUAUAUCCAGGAUGAGCCUGAUAUGCCAAUUGAUAUUGCUUUACAGCUUACUGCAAACGCAGCAAUUAAGCAAUUAACGGAAAUGCUUGAAAUGAUCCGAAUGACGGUACGAGUCGGAGCCGGGGUUCGGGAGCGGAUAGUGUCGGCCCUGGAUGCCCUCUGCCAGCUUACACAGGACUUCACAGACUCGGCCUACACACCUCAUCAUCAACGGGAACAGAUUCUCGAUUUCCUUGAAGAAUGCAGAUUCGAGAUGACAAAUCUGAUACAGCCAGAUGAGAAUGAGCAAUUGGCGGCCAGCGGGCUUGAGGUGACUGUGGAACGGUUGAAUCGGAGGUUGAAGGAUCUGAGCAAGCAACUGCAGAUUGUGGCAAUGGAGCAGAUAUCGGAAGUGCUCAGGGCGAAUGAGGAUCAAGUGCUGUUGUCGUCGAUGAAAGCGUGUGCAGUGUCCGGGGAUAUUGAUGGAGUUGAGAAGUAUAUGCACAAGUUCCGGGAGCACGCGGAUCACAUGCAAGAGGUAUGCCGCCUCCUGCAUCAUAUCUCAAUCACAGACGCCCUACACGUUCACACCGGGCAUGUCGAGCGGAAUAUGAGAGCCCUCGCCCCAUUGACAAUUCUCGCUGGCCGGACGCUUUGUGUGCACCCAUCUUCGAGGAUAGCCAGGGAGAACUUGGAGGUGUUCUGUGACACCUGGGGGCAGGCGGUGAAUGAUCUCUCGCGUGUCGCCAAAGAAUCCGAUGUCGCCGCAAAUGGAAGAGUUGCUGCUGAAAAGCAGGCGUACAUGUCGCUCCCGCGACCAGGGAAGCACGGAACAACACAGAAGCCGUCAAAGCCGAUUACAUUGGAUGUGGAGGACCAACAAAAAAUGGCGAAAGUCGGAUUAGAGAUGAAGCUUCUUACAUCAGAAGUCGACGCGGAAGCCGAAAAAUGGGAUGAGUAUGCCGAGAAUGACAUAGUGAAACGGGCCAAAGCAAUGUCAUCGAUGGCCUAUAAUAUGUACUUAUUUACACGUGGAGAUGGUCCUCUGAAGACGACACACGACCUCUUCACCCAGGCGGAGUUCUUUGCCGAGCAGGCGAAUCAGAUGUAUCGGACAGUUCGAGAGUUCUCAUAUGAAGUUCCGGGCUCUGCGGAAAAAUCCGAUUUGUCAGCGAUUCUUGAGAGGAUCCCACUUCACUGCCAACAGCUACAGGUUAUGGUUAAGAGUCCGACCGUCGGAAAAACUGCGACUUUCGGGAAAGUGGAUUCGGUGAUUCAGGAGACCAAGAAUUUGAUGAACGAAAUCGCGAAGCUGGUCACUGCGUCGUUUGUGUGUGCCACGAAGUAUGAAAUCGAGUUUCGCGGAGGUUCUGUCAAUGGGCGGACGGGUGCCGACGGUGAAAGGACAAGUCGCGAAUCGACUGUUUGGCGCCGGACACCAAGCAUCCGACGAGCCGCGCCGCCGACCUCUUCGCACCUUUCCGCCAACAACUCAUCAAGCAUACACAUUUAGUAGUACAAUUGCGAGCUGACGUCAUCACCGUUCCGCGGCCGCCCACAGGAUCUCUCCCAUUUUGUUUUUCAGAGCCCUAUAUUUUCUUUCAUUUCUUCAGUUUUUUUGCCACGUUUCUUCCUCUCUCUCUCUCUCAUCUUUCCAUGUCAUACCAUUUGCCCAAACCUCGCGAAUAUUCAAAAUGA